rnacentral:rRNA from 1 species
ACUGAACGCUGGCGGCAUGCCUUACACAUGCAAGUCGAACGGCAGCACGGGGGCAACCCUGGUGGCGAGUGGCGAACGGGUGAGUAAUGCAUCGGAACGUGCCCAGUAGUGGGGGAUAACCCGGCGAAAGCCGGGCUAAUACCGCAUACGACCUAAGGGUGAAAGCGGGGGACCGUAAGGCCUCGCGCUAUUGGAGCGGCCGAUGUCUGAUUAGCUAGUUGGCGGGGUAAAGGCCCACCAAGGCGACGAUCAGUAGCUGGUCUGAGAGGACGACCAGCCACACUGGGACUGAGACACGGCCCAGACUCCUACGGGAGGCAGCAGUGGGGAAUUUUGGACAAUGGGCGCAAGCCUGAUCCAGCCAUGCCGCGUGCGGGAAGAAGGCCUUCGGGUUGUAAACCGCUUUUGGCAGGAACGAAACGGCGCAAGCCAAUACCUUGCGCUAAUGACGGUACCUGCAGAAUAAGCACCGGCUAACUACGUGCCAGCCGCCGCCGUAAUAC